rnacentral:sRNA from 1 species
CACUCGCAGCCCGACUUGAGCGGAAAUCCUUUUUUGCUUGUACAAUGUUUCUAUUUAUUCUGAAAUCGUCUGCAAAAAAGAUUGGGAGCGGAAGGCGGAAUAGCUG